AAUUAGUUGAUUAUUUUUUUUAUAAUAUAUUUCAUUUGUUGGUUAAUUCAUUUUACUUUAUGUAAUUUCUUAAAGCAAUUUUGAUCAAUUUUCCAUUUUAAGUCCUUUACAAAAGAAAUGAUACUCGUUCCAGACUUUAAUUUUUCUUUCCUGAUAUAUUUGUAAUAUAAUAGUGUUACCAAUAAUAUUUCAAACUUUUACUAUUUGAUUAAGCAGAAUAUAAAUCAAAAGUAAAUGACAUCGGGUAACAAAGAAAUGAGACUUAGAAAAUCAGUUUUGUAGGUUCUCUGCUAUCAGCUCUAUCCCGUCAUCUGUUACCUUAGAACACCCCGACAGAGAUAGCACAGUAAGGUUAGCAGGACUGUAACCUCAUCACGUUCAAAGUAGAGCUUUGUUUGGGGGAGAAGUAUGAGAGGGCGGAGUCCGUAACAUGAUACGCCUAAAUAGAUUUUGAAACUGUCAUGGAGAUUUUUGGUUCUAUUUCUUGUAAGGGUGUCAAUCAGAAAAAUAGAAGUGAUUUUGCCUUUCUAUAAAUCAUCAAUUACUUUACGGUUGAGUUCCUUUGCACCUACCUCUGGGGUAUUCGGACUGUUCUGAAUAAGCUCCUCUGAACAAUUUGAGUUUGAUUUCUUCUUUACUGGACCUGGCGUUAUCGGCUCAGGGGGGGCAGGAAGUAGUGGGGUUCCGGGACGUGAUCUGCUGAAGAACCUCAUUGGUUUCUCGGGACUUAUUUUAGUGUUUUCAAACUUGGCCCGACCAUUCGCCACGGCUCCCUUUAAUAGUUUAAAAUAUUUAGAGUAUCCCCCCUAAACAACUUUGCAGUACGUAUUGGGUACUGGGGGAACAAUUUUUAAAUUCAAUUAGCAUUUUAUAAACUUAAAGAAAGCUAUGGGUGUAGUAAAUGCCCUACUCCAUAAGGGUUUCUCAACCCCGUAUCAAUCCAGGACCCGGGUACAACUUCUUACUUUACUUUCAAUGUUAAACUGGACACAAUCUUGUACUAGCAAUGUCAAACACGCACAUGAUCUCGUAAACUAUCGCUGCAAAACAAUGGGCAUGAUCUCGUAAACUAUCGCUGCAAAACAAUGGGCAUGAUCUCGUAAACUAUCGCUAAAAAACAAUGGGCAUGAUCUCGUAAACUAUCGCUGCUAAACAAUGGGCAUGAUCUCAGAGACUAUCAAUGCCAAACAAUGGGCACGAUCUCAACUAUUCUAUCAAGGCUAAACCACUGGGUGCACGAUCUUGGGGAUUGCUACGAUAUUUGCUACAUGGGUACCUCAGUAGUUCUUACUUACUAACUUGGCAAAUAAUCCAAAGUAAGACUAAUACCAAUAAAUAGCUAAUUUGCUAUUUAGUUUACCCUCAAAUUACCCAAAUAAGUGAACGGUCCCUUUUAAGAACUGGAUGAAAUAGAAAAUGAUACCUUGAUUGUUAAAGUUAAAUGAAAAUUGUCCCCUUACUACCUAAUAUACCAGAAUCUCCCUGGAAAGGGCUGAUUCAUUUGGUUUACCGUCCCAUUUUGCCUUAUUUAGUUAGUAUAAGUACUGUUUUGGCGUGCUACUACUGAACCGGAAAAAGAGUUCUGAACGAUUAACUUUAUUAAAAAUCUAAAUCUAUAUAGUAAAUGAUGAAAGAAAUAUCUGGAAUAAAUAUCACAAGUUAGAAUCAGCUGAUCGAAUCCGCCCCCUUGGAUUUCUCUGGAAACAACUCAGAUGACGACAUUCAUAUCCGCCACACUGUAGAGUUUGCUUUGGCUGCUUAAAAGCCGGCCCGGGCCUUGAAAAGAACCGGAAUUUACACUGCAAUGUUAUUUUGUGACACGCUCAAUGUAUUUAAAAAAUAAAUAAAAACAAAUGUCA
rnacentral:lncRNA from 1 species